rnacentral:rRNA from 1 species
CUACGUGCCAGCAGCCGCGGUAAUACGUAGGGUGCGAGCGUUAAUCGGAAUUACUGGGCGUAAAGCGAGCGCAGACGGUUACUUAAGCAGGAUGUGAAAUCCCCGGGCUCAACCUGGGAACUGCGUUCUGAACUGGGUGACUAGAGUGUGUCAGAGGGAGGUAGAAUUCCACGUGUAGCAGUGAAAUGCGUAGAGAUGUGGAGGAAUACCGAUGGCGAAGGCAGCCUCCUGGGAUAACACUGACGUUCAUGCUCGAAAGCGUGGGUAGCAAACAGGAUUAGAUACCCUGGUAGUCCACGCCCUAAACGAUGUCAAUUAGCUGUUGGGCAACUUGAUUGCUUAGUAGCGUAGCUAACGCGUGAAAUUGACCGCCUGGGGAGUACGGUCGCAAGAUUAAAACUCAAAGGAAUUGACGGGGACCCGCACAAGCGGUGGAUGAUGUGGAUUAAUUCGAUGCAACGCGAAGAACCUUACCUGUUGUCUUGACAU